CGCUGGGGAUUGAUCCAGGGUCUCAUGCAUGCUGAGUAAUUGCUCUAAGACCCCAAUUCCUUCUGCUUGUGUCUGUGUGGCAUUCUCGGAAAAGUCUCUCCAGAUAAAAUCCUGGGAAAAGCUCUCAGAGUUUGUGGAGAUGAUCUUCUCCACCAGCUGGUUGUAGCUGCAGUUGCCAACAGCUCUUACAAUGUCAUCGAUCUGGAAAACACAUGAUGGUCCCACUAGUCCCGGAGAGAUUGGAAACAGUAACAAAGACAGGCUCUCUCAACAUAGCACAAGCUAGCAUCGAAUUUGCCAUAAGGACUGCGAUGGGACCAGUGCUUUGAAGCUCCAGCCGCCAUGGCUUCCCUGACUUAAUGGACUGUACCCUCAAACUGUGAGCGAAAAUAAACCCUACCUUAAGUUGC
rnacentral:lncRNA from 1 species